CUGGAUGCAUUUGGUGGACAACGUGAUGCUUCUACGUGUGUAGCUGGAUGGAGCUGCUGAACCGAGCCUCUCAAGGCUGAAUGUGUCAAGAUGCUUCAAAGCUACUGGACUGAGUUCACAUGAACGUGGCAGCAGACUGGUGAGCAGGCCGUGGGUUUGUGUGCUGUAACGUGUGAAGACCAGCCCAAACCGUGACCACACUUCUGCUUCUAGAUGUCACCCCCUUUUUCAAUGUUU
rnacentral:lncRNA from 1 species